rnacentral:rRNA from 1 species
GGCAACGGAUAUCUCGGCUCUCGCAUCGAUGAAGAACGUAGCGAAAUGCGAUACUUGGUGUGAAUUGCAGAAUCCCGUGAACCAUCGAGUCUUUGAACGCAAGUUGCGCCCGAAGCCUUCGGGCCGAGGGCACGCCUGCCUGGGUGUCACGCAACGUCGCCCCUCUCGAGCACCGCGCUGCGGAUCGGCGAGAGGCGGAGAAUGGUCUCCCGCGGCCUCCGCCGCGGUUGGCCCAAACACGAGCCCCCGGCGACGGGCGCCGCGGCAUUCGGUGGUUGAGAGACCCUGCUCCCCGCCGCGCGCGCCCCGUCGCAGUCGGGGGAUCUCCGUGACCCCCGGUGCGCAACCGAACCGACGCGACCCCAGGUCAGGGGGGAUUACCCGCUGAAUUUAAGCAUAUCAAUAAGCGGAGG